GAUGAACGCUGGCGGCGUGCCUAAUACAUGCAAGUCGAGCGAACAGACGAGGAGCUUGCUCCUCUGACGUUUGCGGCGGACGGGUGAGUAACACGUGGAUAACCUACCUAUAAGACUGGGAUAACUUCGGGAAACCGGAGCUAAUACCGGAUAAUAUAUUGAACCGCAUGGUUCAAUAGUGAAAGACGGUUUUGCUGUCACUUAUAGAUGGAUCCGCGCCGCAUUAGCUAGUUGGUAAGGUAACGGCUUACCAAGGCAACGAUGCGUAGCCGACCUGAGAGGGUGAUCGGACAAACUGGAACUGAGACACGGUCCAGACUCCUACGGGAGGCAGCAGUAGGGAAUCUUCCGCAAUGGGCGAAAGCCUGACGGAGCAACGCCGCGUGAGUGAUGAAGGUCUUCGGAUCGUAAAACUCUGUUAUUAGGGAAGAACAAAUGUGUAAGUAACUAUGCACGUCUUGAAGGUACCUAAUCAGAAAGCCACGGCUAACUACGUG
rnacentral:rRNA from 1 species